UACGUAGGGCGCAAGCGUUAUCCGGAAUUAUUGGGCGUAAAGGGCUCGUAGGCGGUUUGUCGCGUCGGGAGUGAAAACCAUGGGCUUAACUCAUGGCUUGCUUCCGAUACGGGCAGACUAGAGGCAUGCAGGGGAGAACGGAAUUCCUGGUGUAGCGGUGAAAUGCGCAGAUAUCAGGAGGAACACCGGUGGCGAAGGCGGUUCUCUGGGCAUGUCCUGACGCUGAGGAGCGAAAGUGUGGGGAGCGAACAGGAUUA
rnacentral:rRNA from 1 species